UACGAAGGGGGCUAGCGUUGUUCGGAAUCAUUGGGCGUAAAGCGCACGUAGGCGGCUUGUUAAGUCAGGGGUGAAAUCCUGGAGCUCAACUCCAGAACUGCCUUUGAUACUGAGAAGCUUGAGUCCGGGAGAGGUGAGUGGAACUGCGAGUGUAGAGGUGAAAUUCGUAGAUAUUCGCAAGAACACCAGUGGCGAAGGCGGCUCACUGGCCCGGUACUGACGCUGAGGUGCGAAAGCGUGGGGAGCAAACAGG
rnacentral:rRNA from 1 species